UACGGAGGGGGCGAGCGUUGUUCGGAAUCAUUGGGCGUAAAGGGCGCGUAGGCGGCCUAGCAAGUCGGGUGUGAAAUCCCUCGGCUCAACCGAGGAACCGCACUCGAUACUGCCGGGCUAGAGUCCGGGAGGGGAUGGUGGAAUUCCCAGUGUAGCGGUGAAAUGCGUAGAUAUUGGGAAGAACACCGGUGGCGAAGGCGGCCAUCUGGACCGGUACUGACGCUGAGGCGCGAAAGCUAGGGGAGCGAAUGGG
rnacentral:rRNA from 1 species